GUAGGGAAUAUUGGGCAAUGGAUGCAAGUCUGACCCAGCCAUCCCGCGUGCCGGAAGAAGGCCCUCGGGGUUGUAAACGGCUUUUGACGGUGAAGAAUCGACAGGAUGCGUCCUGUUUUGACGGUAGCCGUUGAAUAAGCACCGGCUAACUCCGUGCCAGCAGCCGCGGUAAUACGGAGGGUGCGAGCGUUGUCCGGAUUUAUUGGGUUUAAAGGGUGCGUAGGCUGGAAGGUCAGUCAGCGGUGAAAAGCUGUCGCUUAACGAUAGUCUUGCCGCAGAUACUUCCUUUCUUGGAUGAGGAGGAGGCCACUGGAACGGAUGGUGUAGCGGUGAAAUGCAUAGAUAUCAUCCAGAACACCGAUUGCGAAGGCAGGUGGCUGUACCUUAAUCGACGCUGAUGCACGAAAGCAUGGGGAGCAAACAGGAUUAGAAACCCGGGUAGUCC
rnacentral:rRNA from 1 species